rnacentral:rRNA from 1 species
CCUACGGGGGGCAGCAGUGGGGGAUAUUGGACAAUGGGGGGAACCCUGAUCCAGCGACGCCGCGUGAGUGAAGAAGUAUUUCGGUAUGUAAAGCUCUGUCAGCAGGGAAGAAAGAAAUGACGGUACCUGACCAAGAAGCCCCGGCUAACUACGUGCCAGCAGCCGCGGUAAUACGUAGGGGGCAAGCGUUAUCCGGAAUUACUGGGUGUAAAGGGAGCGUAGACGGUUAAGUAAGUCUGGAGUGAAAGGCCGGGGCCCAACCCCGGGACUGCUCUGGAAACUAUUGAACUUGAGUGCAGGGGAGGUAAGCGGAAUUCCUAGUGUAGCGGUGAAAUGCGUAGAUAUUAGGAGGAACACCAGUGGCGAAGGCGGCUUACCGGACUGUAACUGACGUUGAGGCUCGAAAGCGUGGGGAGCAAACAGGAUUAGAUACCCCAGUAGUC